rnacentral:misc_RNA from 1 species
GAUGAAGAACGUAGCGAAAUGCGAUAAGUAAUGUGAAUUGCAGAAUUCAGUGAAUCAUCGAAUCUUUGAACGCACAUUGCGCCCGCCAGUAUUCUGGCGGGCAUGCCUGUUCGAGCGUCAUUACAACCCUCAGGCCCCCGGGCCUGGCGUUGGGGAUCGGCGGAGCCCCCCGUGGGCACACGCCGCCCCCCAAAUGCAGUGGCGGUCCCGCCGCAGCUUCCAUCGCGUAGUAGCUAACACCUCGCGACUGGAGAGCGGCGCGGCCACGCCGUAAAACACCCAACUCUUCUGAAGUUGACCUCGAAUCAGGUAGGAAUACCCGCUGAACUUAAGCAUAUCAUAAGCGGAGGA